UGAGAGCUGACCGUUUCAGCCAGCUGUGGUCUAACAGCAGCCCUGAGACGUACUGCAGCAGGACAACACUUUGAGAGCUGACCGUUUCAGCCAGCUGUGGUCUAACAGCAGCCCUGAGACGUACUGCAGCAGGACAACACUUUGAGAGCUGACCGUUUCAGCCAGCUGUGGUCUAACAGCAGCCCUGAGACAUACUGCAGCAGGACAACACUUUGAGAGCUGACCGUUUCAGCCAGCUGUGGUCUAACAGCAGCCCUGUGAGACACCAGUGUUAUGCCUGGGUCAAUGAGUCAUC
rnacentral:lncRNA from 13 species